GACGAACGCUGGCGGCGCGCCUAACACAUGCAAGUCGAACGAGCGAGACGGAGCUUGCUUUCUUGAGCGAGUGGCGGACGGGUAAGUAACGCGUGAGGAACCUGCCUCAAAGAGGGGGACAACAGUUGGAAACGACUGCUAAUACCGCAUAAGCCCACGGUGCCGCAUGGCACAGAGGGAAAAGGAGCACUCCGCUUUGAGAUGGCCUCGCGUCCUAUUAGCUAGUUGGUGAGGUAACGGCCCACCAAGGCGGCGAUCGGUAGCGGGAGGGAGAGGUUGAACGGCCACAUUGGGAGUGAGACGCGCCCGAGACUCCUGGGAGAGGGAGCAGUGGGGAAUACUGCACAAGGGGAGAGACCGAGGUGCAGCGGCGGCGCGUGGAGGGAGAAGGUCUGGGGAUUGUAAUCCCCUGUUGUGGGAGGAGGUAAUGACGGUACCUGGCGAAGAAGCAACGGCUAACUACGUG
rnacentral:rRNA from 1 species